rnacentral:lncRNA from 1 species
AAGACACUAUGACCAAGGCAACUUUUACUUGGACAACAUUUACUUGGGGCUGGCUUACAGUUUCAGAGGUUUAGUUCAUUAUGAUCAAGGCCGGAAGCAUGGCAGUGUGCAGACAGACGCCAAAAGUUCUACAUCUUGAUCCACAGGCAGCAGAAGGAGACUGUAUGUCACACUGGGUGUAACUUGAGCAUAGGAGACAUCAUAGCCUGUCCUCACAGUGACACAAUUCAUCCAACAAGGCCAUACCAACUCUAACUAGGCCACACCUCCAAAAAGUGCCACUCCCUAUAGGUAAGCAUUCAAACACUUAUACCUAUUCAAACUAUCUCAAGGUACAACGUAAGACAUAUUGGCUAUUUUUAGUUUACUGUAGAGGGCACAGAGCCCUGGUGCUCACAUAUAAGCACCAGGGAAACCAGGAAUGUUAAACACGCGGAGCUGUCUCUUCAGAGGAAAAGAUGUCUAACCUAUUCUCUGCCCAGAAGGCUGAGAAUGGAUGUUGUUAAAAGCCCGGUGACCUCUGUGCUAUUUGUAGGGCCAGGCCACACCUGUCUCCAUCCCUUAAAAACAGAACUGGAGAUGGUUAAUAGUGUAGUGACCUUUGCACUAUCUGUAUGACUGAGACCACAUCCAGAGCCUGGAGAUCUUCUCCAAGACCCUGAAGAUAAUGCAUGUAGUCUAUACAGACUCCAUGAUGGAUUCUAUACCUACCAUGAAGAAGUGACACAUACUUUGAAAAGAGUUUCAAGGUAACCAUGCCCUACCGGCACAUGGAGUUAUACAAGGAAACAUUUUCCAAACUGUACUAUAUAAAAUAUACCUUAAAUAAACCACCGGGUCAGACUCACAGAGUUUGACAUGACACUGCUGGCCAUGGUGUUUGCAGAAAAACACCACAACUCUCUCACCCCUCCCCUCUUAUUUAUAAACUAAGUUGAUUUUGUUUGUUUGUUUGUUUUGUAGAGGAAAACAAACAAACACCCUGUAAAGGUAAUAACAAAGUUGUAAAACCAUAGCUAUUUUCUGGAUUACUUCUUAAAUGUGAAGUACCUUUAAAAAUCAUUUUAUAGACUCUCUCACUAAGUGACAUAAAACAACAAUUAAAGUAACUCAGUCCUUAGUAACAGUUCUUCAAGAUAAAUGACCAAAUUUAAAUAUUCCCUGAGGGCAGAACCCAAGCAGAAGCACUCUUCAUUACUGAAAUCUCAUCCUUUUCUAACAAGGCAAUAGAUAGUCAAUAUUUUCAUAGUGGAAUUCCUUAACUGACAAAAUUUCUACAUAAGAGAUCAUGGGCAGGGCAUGGUGGUGCACACCUUUAAUCCCAGCACUUGAGAGGCAGAGGCAGCCAUCACUUGGCUAGCUUUCAUUUUCUAAUAGCUCAAAUAUUAAUAGCCUAUAAAUGUUCUUUUGAGCUCUCAAUAAUUUUAAGGGUAUCUUGGGAGCAAAGAUUUUGAAAUUUGUUUACAGGUAGUACUUAGGGAUCCCCCACAGUGAACACCUAACUGAAUGGUUCCUUAUUAUUAAGGUCUUUUGUCAUUGAUGCUGAUAAUGUUUCUGUGUUUGCUAAUAUACAGUUACCUUUUUGGACCUCUUAGGCUCCCUUCCUUGACAGGUUUCCACUGUCCUACAUGUUUCCACUGUAGUAUAAGAAAGAUAAUAGCAAUAACUCAGGGUCCACUUGAGCUGGCAGCAUUAAUGCAGGGCAAACCUAAAGCUACACAAGCACCAGAUGUCAUAUUACCUACAAACAGACAGACAGACAGACAGACAGACAGAGAGAGACUGAUUACAGUGAACUUUACAGCAUCUCUCCUCG